AUUGAACGCUGGCGGCAGGCCUAACACAUGCAAGUCGAACGAGUGGCGGACGGGUGAGUAACGUCUGGGAAAAUGCCCGAUGGAGGGGGAUAACUACUGGAAACGGUAGCUAAUACCGCAUACCCUCGGAUGUGACCAGAUGGGAUUAGCUAGUAGGUGGGGUAACGGCUCACCUAGGCGCCGAUCCCUAGCUGGUCUGAGAGGAUGAACAGCCACACUGGAACUGAGACACGGUCCAGACUCCUACGGGAGGCAGCAGGGGGGAAUAUUGCACAAUGGGCGCAAGCCUGAUGCAGCCAUGCCGCGUGUAUGAAGAAGGCCUUCGGGUUGUAAAGUACUUUCAGCGAGGAGGCGUUACUCGCAGAAGAAGCACCGGCUAACUCCGUGCCAGCAGCCGCGGUAAUAC
rnacentral:rRNA from 1 species